UACGUAGGGUCCGAGCGUUGUCCGGAAUUACUGGGCGUAAAGCGUGCGCAGGCGGUUGUGCAAGACCGAUGUGAAAUCCCCGGGCUUAACCUGGGAAUGGCAUUGGUGACUGCACGGCUAGAGUGUGUCAGAGGGGGGUAGAAUUCCACGUGUAGCAGUGAAAUGCGUAGAGAUGUGGAGGAAUACCGAUGGCGAAGGCAGCCCCCUGGGAUAACACUGACGC
rnacentral:rRNA from 1 species